GAAGCGAACGCGGUGAACUGAAACAUCUAAGUAACCGCAGGAAAAGAAAUCAACCGAGAUUCCCAAAGUAGUGGCGAGCGAAAUGGGAUGAGCCUUGUACUCUUUAUUUGUAUUGUUAGCCGAACGCUCUGGAAAGUGCGGCCAUAGCAGGUGAUAGCCCUGUAGGCGAAAACAGUAUGAAAGAACUAGGUGUACGACAAGUAGGGCGGGACACGUGAAAUCCUGUCUGAAGAUGGGGGGACCAUCCUCCAAGGCUAAAUACUCGUGAUCGACCGAUAGUGAACCAGUACCGUGAGGGAAAGGCGAAAAGAACCCCGGGAGGGGAGUGAAAUAGAUCCUGAAACCGCAUGCAUACAAACAGUCGGAGCCUCGUAAGGGGUGACGGCGUACCUUUUGUAUAAUGGGUCAGCGACUUACGUUCAGUAGCAAGCUUAACCGUAUAGGGCAGGCGUAGCGAAAGCGAGUCCGAAUAGGGCGUUCAGUUGCUGGGCGUAGACCCGAAACCAAGUGAUCUAUCCAUGGCCAGGAUGAAGGUGCGGUAACACGUACUGGAGGUCCGAACCCACUAACGUUGAAAAGUUAGGGGAUGAGCUGUGGAUAGGGGUGAAAGGCUAAACAAACUUGGAAAUAGCUGGUUCUCUCCGAAAACUAUUUAGGUAGUGCCUCGUGUCUCACCUUCGGGGGUAGAGCACUGUCAUGGUUGGGGGGUCUAUUGCAGAUUACCCCGCCAUAGCAAACUCCGAAUACCGAAGAGUGCAAUCACGGGAGACAGACAUCGGGUGCUAACGUCCGGUGUCAAGAGGGAAACAACCCAGACCGCCAGCUAAGGUCCCCAAAUAUAGCUAAGUGGGAAACGAAGUGGGAAGGCUAAAACAGUCAGGAGGUUGGCUUAGAAGCAGCCACCCUUUAAAGAAAGCGUAAUAGCUCACUGAUCGAGUCGUCCUGCGCGGAAGAUGUAACGGGGCUAAGCUAUAUACCGAAGCUGCGGAUGCGUGCUAUGCACGCAUGGUAGGAGAGCGUUCCGUAAGCCUGCGAAGGUGCGUUGAAAAGCGUGCUGGAGGUAUCGGAAGUGCGAAUGCUGACAUGAGUAGCGAUAAAGGGGGUGAAAGGCCCCCUCGCCGUAAGCCCAAGGUUUCCUACGCAACGUUCAUCGGCGUAGGGUGAGUCGGCCCCUAAGGCGAGGCAGAAAUGCGUAGCUGAUGGGAAGCAGGUCAAUAUUCCUGCACCAUUGUUAGAUGCGAUGGGGGGACGGAUCGCGGAAGGUUGUCCGGGUGUUGGAAGUCCCGGUCGCUGCAUUGGAGAAGGCACUUAGGCAAAUCCGGGUGCGCAAUUCAAGGGUGUGGCGCGAGCUCC
rnacentral:rRNA from 1 species